GUGACAUCAUCGCGUGUGCGUGUGGCACGGUGCACCUGAGAGUGGAAAUCAGGAAGGGAUAUAGGCCUCACUUGUACUGUUUACUAGGGUGAUGUAUGUCUGCAGUAAUUUCUGCAGAUGCACAAAUUUCGAGGUGUGACGGUUAGCAUAGCGUGAGCUAACGCAUCAGCACGUGCAAGCCAUACAAGUUCUGUUGGUGUGUUCGGCCUAUCGGAGCAUAAAUAGCACUGAAGGCUAAGUUUGGAAAAAUUGCCACUGCCGUAUUUUUGUUUACUGGAUAAAAUUUUGGGUUUAUUGUUUUAUAUAUUGCACACCAAAAAGACAGAUUCUGUACAUCAGGCAGUACUUUAUUUU